rnacentral:lncRNA from 1 species
UUUUCAGAAAUCACAAUUUUAUAAAAAGGCAUUUUUCUUAUAUCCAUAAAAUGAUAUAAUUUUUGCAAGUAUAGAAAUGUGUCAUAAAUUAUACAGAAUGUUCCUUAAUUACAGCUCAAUGCAACUUGGUACUUUCCUCCCUCCCUAAAAAACGAGAGAGAACCAAAAAAAUAUAAACCGUGUGGCCAAAAGGAAUUUCCCUGUCAAGCUUUCCCCACCCCCAGCC